UGACACGUCCAGAAUGAGGGUGAGUUUCCCUACCAGCUCAACAAAAAUCCAAGAGCAUUGGCUUGGAUUGGCCUGACUCAUCCCAUCCUCGAACCAAUCCCGGGGGCUAGGGGAGUGGAGGAAGCCAACUGGUCAUGCGCUGUAGCCCCAGACUCGGACUACAAAACCCUGGACCAAACCAUCACCAGCUGUCUCCUGGACAUAGAACAGUUUUCAACUACUGUCCCCAAAUCUAUUCUUGCCCUCCUGGACCCUCUACUGUGCUGCAGCUAGUAUGAUCAGAAAAGACAGGGAAGAGUUACCAGUCCCCAGGAAAAGCUGUGGCUGUAGGAAAGGGCUCUCUGCCAGGAGCCCCUGAGUGGAAUCAAUGAAGGAGUAGGCCUGCAGUAGAAUGAAUGAAUGAAUGAAUGAAUAAAGAAUAAA
rnacentral:lncRNA from 1 species